GUUGUUCAUCACACAUUGGAAAUUGGUACACAGACUGCAGCUAAUCUAAAGGGCCAUGUAACACAAAGCAUGCACCAUCUUGUCCUCAUAUUCUUAUGAGGCGCACUGACCUAGAAAUUUUAGACUGAUCAAAUGGGGGCGGGUUGUGAACGAGCUAGACACGAUCCAGUUCUCUAUCAAGAAACCCUCGCAGCUGGUGAAAGAGAUAGGGAAGACAGGUAGCUACAGAUAAAUGCAUAAUGAUGUUCCUGUUUCUAAUUGUUUGCUGUGUUAUAGCCAUUAUCGUAGUGAAGAUCGUGAACCCAAACAACAAAGAUAUUAGAGACAUCCCUGGAAUAGGUCCUCCAGCGCGAUGCGAUCGAGAAGGCUAUUAUACUUGAGGAAUCCAGACCAGAGUACUUUUAGUUGGACCGGUUGGACCGAGCAAAGGACUCCAUGGUCGAGAAGGGUUUCGUACACAUUAAACUUUGUGUUACAUUAGUGGUUUUGUAUUACAUCAUCAUUCUUUUAAUCCUAUGCCCGUAUGUAAAAGUUUUAGUUCUAACUAAUAUUAUUCUUUUCAAAAAUAUAUGUAGUCCACUGA